UGGGGAAUAUUGCACAAUGGGCGCAAGCCUGAUGCAGCCAUGCCGCGUGUGUGAAGAAGGCCUUCGGGUUGUAAAGCACUUUCAGCGAGGAGGAAGGUGGUGGACUUAAUACGUUCAUCAAUUGACGUUACUCGCAGAAGAAGCACCGGCUAACUCCGUGCCAGCAGCCGCGGUAAUACGGGAGGGUGCAAGCGUUAAUCGGAAUUACUGGGCGUAAAGCGCACGCAGGCGGCUUGUUAAGUCAGAUGUGAAAUCCCCGGGCUCAACCUGGGAACUGCAUUUGAAACUGGCAAGCUAGAGUCUCGUAGAGGGGGGCUAGAAUUCCAGGUGUAGCGGUGAAAUGCGUAGAGAUCUGGAGGAAUACCGGUGGCGAAGGCGGCCCCCUGGACGAAGACUGACGCUCAGGUGCGAAA
rnacentral:rRNA from 1 species